AUGGAACGUGAACAAGAUUUUAAGAAUGAUUGGUAAGAUGUUUGAAUCUUUUUGUAUCUUCAAUACGCUACGGAAAUGUGUAACAAGUAGUUAGAUGAUGCAUUCAAAUAUAUUCAAUAGCAAAAAAAAAAAAAUCAUUCUCAUUGUCAUAUCUACUUUUUCUUUUUGGAGACCCAUUUUGCUUCCAAUAGAAAAAGGCAAAUAUCAAAUAUGAAUACUAUUUCUCUUUUUGGGAAAUACUAGUGAAAGUACAGUUUUCCCAAUAAUAUAAUAAUUAUAUCUAUAAAAAAAAUAUUUAAAAUCUUAUACAAAAAAAAUGUAUGUGAAGCUAAUAAAUUUUUUUUUAAAACUAAUAAAUCAAUUGGUGGUAAAUAUAUCCUCCACAAUAAAUCAUUUUCCUUGAUUUUGAUUCUAACCAAGCACCACGUCAGCACAUCUGCAAGUUGCAAAAUAUAAUUGAAUGAGAGAUGCUACAUCUACAACAAUUUUACAACAUUUUUACAACAAAUCACAGGUGGUUAGUUGUCAUUGGUUCAAAUUUGAAACUAACACUAAGAUUACUUUUUUGCCCCAACAAUAACAACCAGUAACAACCUGCCACUUAGAAUUUGUUGUAAAAAUAUUGUAGACAUAUCAUUUCUCUAAUUGUAUAUCACAUUGUAGGUUGAGUUGUGUAAAGCAACCUAACCCAUCCACUUGCUUUUUUUUCUUUCUUUUUUUCUUUGUUUUUUUAAUAAUUGAUACUAAUGGCGGCAGGGGCAAAUUCGGAAUAAACCAAGACAAAAAACCCAUUCAGUUUCGUCAACCAACAACCAAUAACAAACCCUGUUCAAACAACUGACAACAAAACGUUAGAAAUGCUGAAAGAUGCAAAAUCCUCUGUCCCCGUUCGCCAUCAUAUAUCGUUAACCCAACACCUGUCUGUACCUGAUAGCUUCCCCUGAUCGCCAGUGACACGUGGCGACAACUUAAGUCCCACGCAUAUAAUAUUUUAAAAACAAAAUUAAAUAAGAAUAAAGAAAAAAAAAAAAAGGUAUAAAACACACAAAAAUAUAAUACUAAAUACUAAUAUAAAUACAAAAGCCAGCAUUACCACUAGCUUGAACUAAUAAACUAUUAAUAUUGUAGACCACCAUUGACCACCACAACUACGCGCAUUGCGCAAGCUUUCUCCGGCAAGUCUCAGGGGACCUCCAUGGCUGGAGAUAAAUCAGAAACGGCUUUGUACCAAGCUCUGGUGGAUCGGUUCCAGAGUUUGGAGGCGAGUCACGAGAGGCUGAGGGAACAGUUUGAUAAGGCAGUUCAAGAAAAUAAGAUAACAAAGAACAAGGAGGUGGGUGAUGAUAUGGUGGGCUCAGACUCAGAUUGGAGGUGGGGUUGCUUCCUUGGGUUCUUUGGGGCUGGGGGUCCAUACAGAAGUGUGUUGGAGAACAUGGGUCGCGCUGUUCACGUGUGCAGAGCUUCUUCUCGGGAGAUCAUAUACUAG
rnacentral:sRNA from 1 species